rnacentral:rRNA from 1 species
UACAGAGGUCCCGAGCGUUGUUCGGAUUCACUGGGCGUAAAGGGUGCGUAGGUGGCAUGGUAAGUUUGAUGUGAAAGCUCAGGGCUCAACCCUGAAAUGGCAUUGAAUACUACUGUGCUGGAGGUUUGGAGGGGGGACUGGAAUUCUUGGUGUAGCAGUGAAAUGCGUAGAUAUCAAGAGGAACGCCAGUGGCGAAGGCGAGUCCCUGGACAACACCUGACACUGAGGCACGAAAGCUAGGGGAGCAAACAGG